rnacentral:rRNA from 1 species
AUACGGAGGGUGCAAGCGUUAAUCGGAUUUACUGGGCGUAAAGCGCGCGUAGGCGGCUUAUCAAGUUAGGCGUGAAAGGCCUGGGCUCAACCCGGGAACUGCGCUUAAUACUGGUAGACUAGAGUCCGGGAGAGGGUGGCGGAAUUCCCAGUGUAGAGGUGAAAUUCGUAGGUAUUGGGAAGAACACCAGUGGCGAAGGCGGCCACCUGGCCCGGUACUGACGCUGAGGUGCGAAAGCGUGGGGAGCAAACAGGAUUAGAUACCCCAGUAGUCC